rnacentral:misc_RNA from 1 species
CCAAUAGCGUAUAUUAAAGUUGUUGCAGUUAAAAAGCUCGUAGUUGAAUUUCGGGAUCAAUAUAUCGGUCGUGCCAUCGGUACGUACUGGUAUCAUUGGUUUCUCCUUUCUGACGAACCAUGAUGUCAUUAAUUUGGUGUUAUGGGAAGUUAGGACUGUUACUUUGAAAAAAUUAGAGUGUUUAAAGCAGGCUUUCGCUUGAAUACAUUAGCAGGGAAUAAUGAAAUAGGACGUUCGAACCUAUUUUGUUGGUUUCUAGGAUCAACGUAAUGAUUAAUAGGGAUAGUUGGGGGCAUUAGUAUUCAAUUGUCAGAGGUGAAAUUCUUGGAUUUAUUGAAGACUAACUACUGCGAAAGCAUUUGCCAAGGAUGUUUUCAUUAAUCAAGAACGAAAGUUAGGGGAUCGAAGACGAUCAGAUACCGUCGUAGUCUUAACCAUAAACUAUGCCGACUAGGGAUCGGAUGAUGUUAAUUUUUUAAUGACUCAUUCGGCGCCUUACG